rnacentral:tRNA from 1 species
GCCCGGGUGGCGAAAUGGCAUACGCACAUCACUUAAGAUGAUGCGCCGCAAGGCAUGUGGGUUCGACUCCCGCCCCGGGCACCA